rnacentral:tRNA from 1 species
UGUAGUUCAGUUGGCAAAAUGCUUGCCUAACAAUCAUGAAGCCCUGGGUUAGAUUCCCAGCA